GCUGGUUUGGCUCAGUGGAUAGAGCAUCAGCCUGCAAACUGAAGGCUCUCAGGUUCAAUUCCAGUAACGGACA
rfam:Myotis brandtii contig253146, whole genome shotgun sequence.